CCUACGGGGUGCAGCAGUGAGGAAUCUUGGUCAAUGGGCGGAAGCCUGAACCAGCCAAGUCGCGUGAGGGAUUAAGGCCCUGCGGGUCGUAAACCUCUUUUGCCGGGGAGCAGUGGUCCGGACGCGUCCGGACCGGGAGAGUACCCGGAGAAAAAGCAUCGGCUAACUCCCGGCCAGCAGCCGCGGUAAUACGGAGGAGGCGAGCGUUCUCCGGAUUUAUUGGGUGUAAAGGGAGCGUAGGUGGGUUGUUAAGUCAGUGGUGAAAGGUUGCGGCUCAACCGGACAAUUGCAAUUGAUACUGGCAGUCUUGAGUACAGUUGAGGUAGGCGGAAUUCGUGGUGUAGCGGUGAAAUGCUUAGAUAUCACGAAGAACUCCGAUUGCGAAGGCAGCUUACUAAUCUGCCACUGACAUUGAUGCUCGAAAGUGUGGGUAUCAAACAGGAUUAGAUACCCUUGUAGUC
rnacentral:rRNA from 1 species